AGAGUUUGAUCAUGGCUCAGAAUGAACGCUGGCGGCGUGCUUAACACAUGCAAGUCGCACGAGAAAUCUUCAGCUUGCUGAAGAGAGUAAAGUGGCGCACGGGUGAGUAACACGUGGGUAAUCUACCUUCAAAUCGGGGAUAACAUUGCGAAAGCGAUGCUAAUACCGGAUGACAUCGUAUUGACCUCGGUUUUUACGAUCAAAGAUGGCCUCUACAUGUAAGCUGUUGUUUGAAGAUGAGCCCGCGUCCCAUUAGCUUGUUGGUAGGGUAAUGGCCUACCAAGGCUACGAUGGGUAGCUGGUCUGAGAGGAUGAUCAGCCACACUGGAACUGACACACGGUCCAGACUCCUACGGGAGGCAGCAGUGAGGAAUUUUGCGCAAUGGGGGAAACCCUGACGCAGCAACGCCGCGUGAGUGAUGAAGGCUUUCGAGUCGUAAAGCUCUGUCAAGUGGGAAGAACCCACAAGGUGUCAAUACCACCUUGUGCUGACGGUACCACUGAAGGAAGCACCGGCUAACUCCGUGCCAGCAGCCGCGGUAAUACGGGGGGUGCAAGCGUUAUUCGGAUUCAUUGGGCGUAAAGGGCGCGCAGGCGGCUUGGUAAGUCAGAUGUGAAAGCCCGGGGCUUAACCCCGGAAGUGCAUUUGAAACUAUCAGGCUUGAGUAUGGGAGAGGGAAGUGGAAUUCCUGGUGUAGAGGUGAAAUUCGUAGAUAUCAGGAGGAACACCGGUGGCGAAGGCGACUUCCUGGACCAAUACUGACGCUGAGGCGCGAAGGCGUGGGGAGCAAACAGGAUUAGAUACCCUAGUAGUCC
rnacentral:rRNA from 1 species